CUCAGCUGUAGGCAACUGCCUAAGUUACCUUGUACCUAAGUAAGUGUUACACUGCUGGGAGAAAGGAGCCAGUAGCUGACAGGCAUU
ensembl:snoRNA SNORA74 Small nucleolar RNA SNORA74